rnacentral:rRNA from 1 species
GAUGAACGCUGACAGAAUGCUUAACACAUGCAAGUCUACUUGAAUUUAGGUUUUUUAACUUCGAUUUGGGUGGCGGACGGGUGAGUAACGCGUAAAGAACUUGCCUCACAGUUAGGGACAACAUUUGGAAACGAAUGCUAAUACCUAAUAUUAUGAUUUUAGGGCAUCCUAUAAUUAUGAAAGCUAUAAGCGCUGUGAGAGAGCUUUGCGUCCCAUUAGCUAGUUGGAGAGGUAACGGCUCACCAAGGCGAUGAUGGGUAGCCGGCCUGAGAGGGUGAUCGGCCACAAGGGGACUGAGACACGGCCCUUACUCCUACGGGAGGCAGCAGUGGGGAAUAUUGGACAAUGGACCAAGAGUCUGAUCCAGCAAUUCUGUGUGCACGAUGAAGUUUUUCGGAAUGUAAAGUGCUUUCAGUUGGGAAGAAAAAAAUGACGGUACCAACAGAAGAAGUGACGGCUAAAUACGUGCCAGCAGCCGCGGUAAUACGUAUGUCACGAGCGUUAUCCGGAUUUAUUGGGCGUAAAGCGCGUCUAGGUGGUUAUAUAAGUCUGAUGUGAAAAUGCAGGGCUCAACUCUGUAUUGCGUUGGAAACUGUAUAACUAGAGUACUGGAGAGGUAAGCGGAACUACAAGUGUAGAGGUGAAAUUCGUAGAUAUUUGUAGGAAUGCCGAUGGGGAAGCCAGCUUACUGGACAGAUACUGACGCUAAAGCGCGAAAGCGUGGGUAGCAAACAGG